rnacentral:sRNA from 1 species
GGAGUGAGAAAAUAGAUCUUAGAUUAGCCAGAUUCAUUAGGGGAUUCGGCUGCUUGGUUCAAUAAAGUUGUGAAUAGAGGCACCAAAUUUUAAUUGGGCAACUCGUGUGAUCUUGAUCUUUCGUUGUAAGCAGCUACCUGGGAAAAUUUGCAGACCAGUCCGGUCUCCUUCAUUUCUCAUUUGCUCUUCCUGUUUCCAUCACGUAACACUCUUCCUCUUCCAUAUGCUGGUUAAAAUUAUAAUUGCUUUCAAUUGUCGACACACGAAGCUCUCGCAUCGGAUCAGCGGGUGGACAUGGACAGCGACAGGCGGGCAAACAGACAGACGGACAGAAAAGCAGAGACAGGGAGACAAACUGGCAAACACUUGGCCAGACAGAUGUCAGAUAAGCCAAGAGGCGAGAAAGAGUUGGCGUAUACCCUCUCCGAAUGUUAGGUUCGCCUGGGGCCUUUCCAAACUGCAGCCUCUUUAAAUUUCUUCUACAAAAAAUUAUUAUAAGCCAACUAGAGCAAUGGACAACUCUCAACUUACAUAUGCUGGAUCUUAAAACUCUUAGAUUUCUCCAAUUCAAAAAGUUACCUAUUAAAUGUGCUCAGAAUUAUUCAAGAAAGAGUAAUCAAAUCUUCGUAUUUCCCAAGUUUCCCUUCUAAUUUUCCCUUUUCUUUUUCCAUGCCCACGCCCACACCAGUGAGUGGCGGCGGUGGGCAGGCGUCUAAAGAGGCCUUGAUGGCAUUUCAAAUAUGUUUCGCUUUUUACCAGAACUGCUGGGGAAUAGAAUAGACACCCCAUGGCACAACCUCAAGUGACCUUGGUCCAUCCGCGAGUGCUCCCCCUUCCCCUUCCUUCAGCGAUCUGAACUACACACAGAAAUGUUGUCUUAACACUCUAUAAAAUAAAACUAACGAAAUUCCACAAUUAACCCAAGAGACCUCACCCCUGACGAUCAGCAAUCAGCUGUGGAAUGGCUUUUAUGGCCAUCAGAUGUUUUGGCUGGGCAAUUUAGUGUUUUCGCCUUCUCGGAUUUGCGUAAUUCGCGUUGUUCGGGUAAAUGUUUUCGAACAAAUCUUGUGGAGGCCGCCCGAAGGUCGCCUUAACAUCUGAAGAAGCGUGUUCUCCACGGACGAGAUCCAGUAGAUUAUGUGGCUAAUUGUCCAGAUGAUUUAUGGCCGGGAAUUGCUUAUGCACCUCUUGUAUGGCGCCAUUUGAUUGUUUUUGUUUAUGGUAAACAGAGGCAGAGGCACUGGGCUAUCGAGCAACAAAGAGGUGAAAUGUGUAAAUGGACCAGGCCAUCCCAAGUGAUGUAAAUAAACAGGGAAGUAAGAGGAGGCCAGACGGGCCAUCAAAAGAGAUGGGUAAGCAAGUAAUGGGCCAGUCAACAGUGCAAAGCGAAUCUACAAACUCAAAUCGUUUUUAAAGGUUUAAAAAAAUGUAAAUAUUACAUUUUUAUUUCAAAUCAUGGGGCCAAGAAAGAGAUAUGCAAUUUGUAUCUUUCCAUAUCAGUUUCAUCUUCAUCAAAGGGACAGAGAUUUUACUGUCUAUCAACGAAAUAUGUUUCUCUCUGGAUCUGAUCUGGUUUCGAAACUUUCUCCAAAUUAGCAUAACACCCGCAUUUUAUGAUGCAACGUUUGAUUAGCUAACUAAUUCUCUGUGUCACGCUUUCAUCUGAUUUGUUUCUUCAAUCAUUUAACCCAGUAAAAAACUAAUUAAGUGGUACAACUGAGUUGACUAAACGGUACAAGUUGAGAACCUCAAUACCCACAACAAGCCUAAGCCAACAAAUUCCUAGGAAAUCUGGUUAGAGACCCGCGGACUACCCACAGUGCUGGAUGGUAUGCACAUAUUUAUGUUCUUAUUAUGCAAAAGUCGGUAAAGGCUGGAAAGAGGCUUACAAAACCUAGACAACCAUCAAGUUUCGGGCACGCCUUCCACUUCCACAUCCACUCGGUUCGUGGAGUCAUCUCCUCCACUUAACUGGAAAUAAAGUUCAUCUUGACGCACUUCAGCAGAACUCUUAUUUUGAGAGAGGGAAAAGGUGGAGUAACAUGUCGUUCCCGUCGCUUAGCACCUCGUUUACGCCCAGAUCUUCUUUAGCUGAACCCACAAUCCAACUUAGAUUUCCACUACGAUUCGGAUCUCAGCACGCAACUCCUGGCCAUGUCACAAUUUUUGUUGUCACUUCAGCGGGGAUAAACUAGAGCGAUAAGAAUCGAUCGAUUAAUUAUCGUUAAACGCUGCCAUAUCGUCGAUAUCUGGUUAUUAUAUUUUCGAUCGGAGGGGAGGAGAGGGGCUGGUGUUCAUUAGCAUGUGCUUGUAUGACUGUAAUUAUCGUGCAAUAAAAACGUGAGUUGCA